CCAAGCUGUUUACAUAAUUUAAAGAGUCUACCUGAUUUCAUCCAUGACAAUUAAACAUUUGAUAAUAACGAGAGGCUUCAAGUCACACAAGCUUUUCAAUGACUUCACACAAGAUCAUACAAUAGAUGAAGAAUCGUAGUGUAAACACCGCCGGGACCACUUCAAAUUUGGCGCUUGAAUUGGAGAGAGAGAUGUGGACAUUUUGACAAUUACAAUUACAAUGGCUUAUAACUUAGUUUUACAUGUUCAUGCUUCAUUAUAUUUCACUUGUUUUAUUUUGUAUUAGAAUAGUGUAAUAUGAGAGAAGCUGGAUUAAUUGGAAAUAUAAUUUGUAGGUUUGUGGGUAACGAGUCCACGCUGACAUAGGAGAGUGAGCGGACGUCAGACACACAGAGGGGUGGUGUUUGAAGGGCGUGCGUGUGCAGCUGCCUUAUUUAACCCGGAUUUUCUCUCAAGACGGUGACACGUGCCAGUGGAAGCUUAAUGGCUGCCGGAAGGUGGUCGUGAGGGCCAGAAACACUUAUAAUAUUGACAAAUGACCCACCUGCUGCUUGGCCAGCUGGCGGACUGGUCACAGACGCCAUGGUGCAAUAGGAGACUACCCCAUCCCCUGCCUCCCACCCUGCUCCACCCAGACACCAUGGCCCGGCAGCGACGCCAUUCCACUUGCUACAUGACGCUGGCUGACGCACUCCUGACGUGGCAGCGACAGGAGGCGGAGGGCAGGAGCAAGAGUCAGAUGGUGAAGGAAGGCGUGACGGAAGAGGUGGUGGCUGUGGAGGGUGUUCGUACUGGGUACCUCGGCAAGGUCUAGUGUGCAGGUUGGCAGUAAACCUCCCUGAAGGUUCCAGAGCUGCUCAGCAAGUGUCCAGUCCAGGCUGUCACAAGACUGUGUGACAGUGGACCUUCCACUCAUACUGAAAACAGCUGUGCACUGCCACUCACAGGAAAUGAUUGAGUUGCCUUGAAGCUGAGAUGAGUUGGUCAGCUAGUGAGUGGCUUCAAUCAAGUGACUGUGAGGUGUUGGCUUCAAUCAAGUGACUGUGAGGUGUUGCCUUCAAUCAAGUGACUGUGAGGUGUUGGCUUUGAUCAAGUGACUGUGAGGUGUUGGCUUCGAUCAAGUGACUGUGAGGUGUUGGCUUCGAUCAAGUGACUGUGAGGUGUUGGGCGUGGUAUUGUGUUAUUGCAAGUGUAACCAUUAAUAAGUAAGUUCUUUCCUUAUAACUCUUCAUAUAUGGAUUGCCAUACAUGGACGGAUAAGGCCCUUGUACAGAGUCAGCAGCUGGGGGUGAGAAAAACUGGUGGAGACGUCUCAGAACGCCUAACUUCACAGAAGCUGUUUUAGCUAGAGAUGAAAUGUGAAGUUUCCAGUUUAGAUUAUAAGUAAAGGACAGACCAAGGAUGUUCAGUGUAGAAGAGGGGGACAGUUGAGUGUCAUUGAAGAAGAGGGGAUAGUUUGGAAGACUGUGUUGAGUUGAUAGAUGGAGGAAUUGAGUUUUUGAUGCACUGAACAAUACCAAGUUUGCUCUGCCCCAAUCAGAAAUUUUAGAGAGAUGAGAAGUGAGGCAUUCUGUGGCUUCCCCUGUGUGAACUGUUUACUUCCUGAAGGGUUGGAUGUCUAUGAAAAGACAUGGAAAAGUGCAGGGUGAUGUCAUCAGCGUAGGAGUGGAUAGGACAAGAAGUUUGGGUUAGAAGAUCAUUAAUGAAUAAUAAGAAGAGAGUGGGUGACAGGACAGAACCCUGAGGAACACCACUGUUAAUAGAUUUAGCAGAAGAACAGUGACCGUCUACCACAGCAGCAAUAGAACGGUCAGAAAGGAAACUUGAGAUGAAGUUACAGAGAGAAGGAUAGAAACCAUAGGAGGGUAGUUUGGAAAUCAAAGCUUUGUGCCAGACUCUAUCAAAAGCUUUUGAUAUGUCCAAGGCAACAGCAAAAGUUUCACCAAAAUCUCUAAAAGAGGAUGACCAAGACUCAGUAAGGAAAGCCAGAAGAUCACCAGUAGAGCGGCCUUGACGGAAUCCAUACUGGCGAUCAGAUAGAAGGUUGUGAUGUGGUAGAUGUUUAAGAAUCUUCCUGUUGAUGAUAGAUUAAAAAACUUUAGAUAGGCAGGAAAUUAAAGCAAUAGGACUGUUGUUUGAGGGAUUAAAACUACUACUACUACUACUACUACUACUACUACUACUACUACUACUACUACUACUACUACUACUACUACUACUACUCACAUCUUGCCUGACUCCCCGACCAACAUUUACUGUGUAGAAAUGACACAGUCUGCUCCUUUAGUUCUUUUCCUUUCUUGAAUGUGCAUAUCAGUGUACCCUGUCAUGCCUCCCAUGCUGUGUAAUGCUGCAGUGUUGAUUGUGUGUGUGUUUCCCUCAGGUGGUACUGUGGAUAGCAAGCGGAAGAGACCUUGGGAGACUUCCGUAAAUGAGGAGCAACAAGCACACCUCACUGGAGUCUUUCAGGAACCAACAGUCGGGGCUGAUGUGAAGGUGUCUGCAGCCAGUGUUUGGUGUCCUCUGUGCCUGCCUGGUGGUGCCUCAUUGCAGGGCCUGACGUGAAUGUGUCUGCAGCCAAUGUUUGGUGUCCUCUGUGCCUGGUGGUGCAGCCUGAUGUGUUGCCUGCUUCAGUGUAAAUCUUGCAAGCUAGAUCUGCCAGCUGUCUCCAGUGUAGUAGUCUAGGGUGCUUUGCUUUGUGUCUUUUGGCAAUAAAUAAAUUUGAACUAUUCUCAUGUGAAUUACAUAGUUUGAUAAAAUUACAAAAUGUGGUUGUGUAAACUAAAUUUAUAUUGGUGGUAAACAAUUCAGGCACCCGCAAGUAAAUAAAUAAAUAAAUAGGACCCAAAACAAUACUGAUACAAUUGAUGCCCUCAGGUAAAAAAAAAAAGCCAGGAUUGGCCUAUUUUUGGUUAAGUUUAAG